rnacentral:rRNA from 1 species
UACAGAGGGGGCAAGCGUUGUUCGGAAUUACUGGGCGUAAAGGGCGCGUAGGCGGCCUGUUAAGUCGAACGUGAAAUCCCCGGGCUCAACCCGGGAACUGCGUCCGAUACUGGCAGGCUUGAAUCCGGGAGAGGGAUGCGGAAUUCCAGGUGUAGCGGUGAAAUGCGUAGAUAUCUGGAGGAACACCGGUGGCGAAGGCGGCAUCCUGGACCGGUACUGACGCUGAGGCGCGAAAGCCAGGGGAGCAAACGGG